CCGUACCAAGGCGACGAUCCGUAGCGGGUCUGAGAGGAUGAUCCGCCACACUGGGACUGAGACACGGCCCAGACUCCUACGGGAGGCAGCAGUGGGGAAUUUUGGACAAUGGGCGCAAGCCUGAUCCAGCCAUGCCGCGUGAGUGAAGAAGGCCUUCGGGUUGUAAAGCUCUUUCGGCGGGGAAGAAAUUGCACGGGUUAAUACCCCUGUGUAGAUGACGGUACCCGAAUAAGAAGCACCGGCUAACUACGUGCCAGCAGCCGCGGUAAUACGUAGGGUGCGAGCGUUAAUCGGAAUUACUGGGCGUAAAGCGUGCGCAGGCGGUUUGGUAAGUCAGAUGUGAAAUCCCCGGGCUCAACCUGGGAACUGCAUUUGAGACUGCCAGGCUGGAGUUUGGCAGAGGGGGGUGGAAUUCCACGUGUAGCAGUGAAAUGCGUAGAGAUGUGGAGGAACACCGAUGGCGAAGGCAGCCCCCCUGGGCCAAUACUGACGCUCAUGCACGAAAGCGUGGGGAGC
rnacentral:rRNA from 1 species